rnacentral:rRNA from 1 species
CCUACGGGCGGCAGCAGUGAGGAAUAGUGGUCAAGGGGCGAGAGCCUGAACCAGCCAAGUCGCGUGAGGGAGUACUGCCCUAUGGGUUGUAAACCUCUUUUGUCGGGGAGCAAAAGCCGGACGUGGCCGGCUGUGAGAGUACCCGAAGAAAAAGCAGCGGCUAACUCCGGGCCAGCAGCCGCGGUAAUACGGCGGAUGCGAGCGUUAUCCGGAUUUAGUGGGUUUCAAGGGGGCGCAGGCGGAUUUUUAAGGCAGCGGUCAAAUCGUGGGGCUCAACCCCAUCCCGCCGUUGCAACUGGGGCUCUCGUGUGUGCGAGAGGUCUGCGGCAUGCGUGGUGUCGCUGUGAAAUGCCUAGCUAUCACGCAGCACCCCGAUUGCGACGGCAGCAUACCGGUGCACACCUGACGCUCCGGCACGAAAGCGUGUGUAUCGAACAGGAUUAGAUACCCGAGUAGUC